GAGUUUGAUCCUGGCUCAGAACGAACGCUGGCGGCAGGCCUAACACAUGCAAGUCGAGCGCGCCUUCGGGUGAGCGGCGGACGGGUUAGUAACGCGUGGGAACGUGCCCUUCUCUACGGAAUAGCCUCUGGAAACGGAGAGUAAUACCGUAUACGCCCUUUGGGGGAAAGAUUUAUCGGAGAAGGAUCGGCCCGCGUUAGAUUAGGUAGUUGGUGGGGUAACGGCCUACCAAGCCUACGAUCUAUAGCUGGUUUUAGAGGAUGAUCAGCAACACUGGGACUGAGACACGGCCCAGACUCCUACGGGAAGCAGCAGUGGGGAAUCUUAGACAAUGGGGGCAACCCUGAUCUAGCCAUGCCGCGUGAGUGAUGAAGGCCUUAGGGUCGUAAAGCUCUUUCGCCUGUGAUGAUAAUGACAGUAGCAGGUAAAGAAACCCCGGCUAACUCCGUGCCAGCAGCCGCGGUAAUACGGAGGGGGUUAACGUUGUUCGGAAUUACUGGGCGUAAAGCGCGCGUAGGCGGAUUAGAAAGUUGGGGGUGAAAUCCCGGGGCUCAAACCCGGAACUGCCUCCAAAACUGCUAGUCUAGAGUUCGAGAGAG
rnacentral:rRNA from 1 species